rnacentral:lncRNA from 1 species
AUAGGAGAUCUUGGCUUAUCAAAGGUGAAACAACACACGAUGGUACCUGGUGGCGUUCGUGGAACCUUGCCUUGGAUGGCACCCGAGCUUCUUAGCGGAAAAAGUCACAUGGUAACUGAAAAGAUGUAAGCAAGUUAGCUUCUCUUGCUAUUUGUUUAUUUGGUUUUGAAGAACCAUUGAAGGUCUGAGCCACUUGCACAUUUAAACGACUGAUGGUAUAUGCGAAAUUCAUGGUCAGCUUUAGGAACAUCGACUUUUGCACUGAAAUAAUUCAUACGGCUGAAUAAUACAAACUACUACAAUGGUUCCCCACAAUAUCAUUAGUGAUUCAGACAAGAUUAAACCAAAAACGCGUCAUAUUAAUCCAGCACAUACUUAUAUCUAUGAGAUUUGACCCGAAGCGAUUUGACGCCACCCAACCGGCCCUUACAACAUAUGUAAAGACUGGCAGUACCUCAUGGGUUAAUAAGGGCAGACCAAAAGCUAUUGGUAAGCUGCAAAUACCACUUAAGCAUUCAUCUAAACAACGAAAAAUGGGUACGAGAGCAAACGAACCAGAUGUAGCCGAUUACAUUCGUUGAAUCAUAUGUAAUAGCUUGCUGAGUUUAAUCAUUCUUUAUAAGUUAUCUCUAAGUUUUUUACUUCAAAGCUGAACAAUUUAUAUGUCAAGGAAAAAGCUAUUAUUAGGGAUGGACAAAUGGUAUCGGUUCGGAACCGGUACCGAAUUUUCAAACCCGACUCGAUUUUUGGUACCGACAUUUUGCGUUUUCGGUAUCGGUUCAGUUUCUUACCUUCAUAUACCGCUCCGCUCCGUACCGGUACCCAUUUUUUGGGAUUUUCGGUACCGGUUGGUACCG